GGGAGGGGUUUGAUGUUCC
rnacentral:siRNA from 1 species